rnacentral:rRNA from 1 species
AAUGAACGCUGGCGGCAGGCCUAAAACAUGCAAGUCGAACGGGUGUAGCAAUACAUCAGUGGCGCACGGGUGAGUAACGCGUGGGAACAUGCCCCUUAGUACGGGACAACGGCGGGAAACUGACGCUAAUACCGUAUAAUAUCUCCGGAUCAAAGAUUUAUCGCUGAGGGAGUGGCCCUCGUCUGAUUAGCUAGUUGGUGGAGUAAUGGCUCACAAAGGCUACGAUCAGUAGAAGGUCUGAGAGAAUGAUCUGCCACACUGGGACUGAGACACGGCCCAGACUCCUACGGGAGGCAGCAGUUAGGAAUAUUGGACAAUGGGCGAAAGCCUGAUCCAGCCAUGCCGCGUGUGUGAUGAAGGCCUUAGGGUUGUAAAGCACUUUCGUUGGGGAUGAUAAUGACCGUACCCAAAGAAGAAGCACCGGCUAACUUCGUGCCAGCAGCCGCCGUAA